GCUUACUUAUUUUCAGUUCUAAGCACCCAUGGUGAUGCAGAAGGCUGAGGAUUGCCCGCCAUCGCCUUGACCUGUAGCCAGAUUUCGUUCCCGCCCCUGCGUAAAGUGUGACCAACGCACCUCCACUUUCGCUCCUGAAUUUCUGUUGCUAUCGACUUUUGGUGACAUCUACGAUGGAGCUUUGGAGGAUCCAAUGGUGAGGCCACCAUGCACGAACUAUAUACCGCAGACAUCUAUUGAUGAAGACUUGCAGUUGUUGAGUGUUCUCGGCUGAUUCGAUACACACUAGGUUUCACUGGCACACACCAGCACAGAUUCCACGGUCUCCGCUUUCUUGAUCCGCUCACCUAUGUCGAUCUUGAUCGCCCGCCAUUUGGCUACCAAGAUAUUGGAGCUUUCAACAUUCUCCAUUGCUUGCCCAAUGCCCAGCUACCAUAAUGUUGGAAGAGUGGACCGUAUUUAGAGCCGACGAUUUGGUCUUGUUGACGCUGAUGGUGAGACCUACCGACGAGGUGCGAUCGGCAAGAUCAUCGAGCUUACUCUGCAUGAACUAGGAGAGCAACGUCAUCAGCCAGUUAUUUAGAUGCCCAUGAUUUUAUAAACCGACCAGUACAAAUGCAUUAGAUCGCGGCUUAUCCACCGACUAUCGCCGAACGUGUCUCUCCCUCUCUUUUCUAACAUAACAACAAGACCAGCGCACCGCAAUGUCCGAGCCAGAGCCGCCGCCGAAGGAAGGGCCACCGGAAACACGUGCCACCCGUUCCCGGUCGAAAACCCCGUUCACCUUACGGGUCAGCGUCGAACGGGAUAUGAAUGGCGGUGAAGCGGCGAAACCGGACAAGGUUCAGAAAUCACCGAAAGUUACCACAAUCCAGGAAGAGUUGAACUCUCCCCAAAAGUCAGCUUCCGCGACAGGAGCUUCCCGUAGCGUUCGCAAAACUCGCACCGUUACGUCGGAUUAUUCGUCCGAUGGAGUUUCACCGGAAAGACCCACCACCAAGGAAGCCGUCUCCUCCAACGCAGCAGCUGAGAAAUCCAUCACGGUUACAAAGACAACCGUCACAACAACAGUCACCACAUCGCAGUCCGCCGGGUCCGGAAAAUCACCCUCCAAAAAGGAAGUCCGCCAGAAUGAGGUCAACCGAACGCUGGAAGACAGCCAGAAGGCAAUUCUGCGAACCAGCACUCCCAAAGCCACUUCCAAAGUGUCCGGCAAGAUUACCCUGACGCCGGAGGAACUGCAGAAGCAUGUCGCUUAUAAAGAAUACAGAGAAGCCGGCGAAUACUGGAACAAGUUCCCCAAGACGGACUACACCUAUUCAGAACUGUCCCCAUUCCGGCGAGAGCUGGCGUCCGGUAUGAUUGCCAUGCCGAACAUGUCCCGGCCCGGUUUGAACAAGCAUGCCGAGCGAAUCAGCGUGAUGAUCGAGCGGAAUCCCACCCAGGAGUCAUACAUCCGGCAGCGAUAUGCCGCUGCCUCGUCCAAGUAUUCCAGCUCGGGAGUGGCCGGCGGAAGUUUCGCCCAUGCCGAUCCCUACGAUUCCGGCGAAGAAACGCUGGAUUUGUCCCAGCUUUCGCGGGCUUCCCGAAGCUAUCGCAGUAAGAGGUCCACGAAUCAUACACAGGUGGUGGAAGAACAUCGAUCGUUCAUCAGCCGGUUUUUCCUGUCGAUUGUGAACCUGUUCUACGGAGCGACACACUCGGUUUCCCGGGUGUUCAACCAGUCGGAACACAAUAUGUAUUACACCAGGAUUGAAGACGAGAGAGGUUUCCUCGCCAAGACCUACUCCUUCUUCAACAUGCUGGUCACAGGGGUUUUCAAGAAGGUGUACCUUCUGAUCUCAUCCGUCCUGUUCCUGGACACUUGGUUGCUCCAGACUGCUUCCAGCGACGUUCAGCAGGGUCGUCGCAAGAGGAAAUUCCUCCUGAUGCUUCUGGUGUUGCUGCCCUUCCUACUGUUUGGUGCCUUCCUCCUGGCGGACGAGGACCAAACUAUCGUCCUGCCGGCAUCGAAACGUGCCACCAUCGCCCUUGCCUCGCUUUCGCACAUCCUACCGUCCUUUGAAGGCCAGGAUUUGGACAGCAUUAAGGACAACCUCUUCCAAAAGUUGGACUUCCGGGAAGCGUCUUUUUCGUGGCGUUCCCUGUUACCCUCGUUCAGUUUCAGUUUUGGCAGCGAUCGGGCAGGGGUCGGGACCGACUACGAGCACCUGAAAAGCGGCCUCCAGAAGACGCUGAGCAAACAGGAGUACGAUGAUUUGAUGCGACACAUCGAUGCGUACAUCGAGGGACUGCUGACGGAGAAGUACCUGAAGAAGGAGCAGGAAGAGGCGAAGGCAAAGCAGCAGGUGAUAAGCCCGGAGGUGACAGUGCACGUUGCCAGCGUGGUGCGGGAGAACCUCCAGGCCUACAAUUACCAACUGAGUGAAGCGGACGUGGACGCCGUUGCCGCCAAGGUACGGCUUGAGCUGCUGGCCAGCUACCCGGAUGUGUUCAACCCGAAGGUGGGGGAUGGUGAGAGGAAAGCGGAGGCGGUGGGAAUUUCCCAAGAGAAUUUGCUGGAGAUCCAGAAACUGGUGAGCCAGCAAAUCAGUAUUACGAACAACAACCUCGUAAUCAGCGAUCAACAGUUAGAGGAUAUCCUGAAAAAGAUACUAGCAUCUAGUAAGCUUGUAGAUUUGAUAGACGCCCGAGUUCUGCUUCAGAUGAAGGAGCCCAAGCGACAGCAACAGGAAUCACAGGCAGCUUUGGUUGAAAAUUUGAAGAAUGAAAUCAACGAGAUCAAAACGCACUUUACGGAGAAGCUUGCUGCGAGCAGUUUGAUGAUCGAGGACAACAUAAACCUGCUGAAGCAGGAUCAGAGCAGGCUGGCCGAACAGGUCAACAGCUACCGGAUAGAAAACGACGAAAAGUACGUGAAGUUGAUGGCGGAUAUCGACGCACGGCUUGCUGCGGUCAAACAGGAGCAGUUCGCUGGGCUGAACAAGAUCAUCAAAAAGAACAUCGUUACCAUCUUAGGUAUGAACGUGAAGGAGGACUUCUCCGACGCGGAUCUUAAAGCGUGGAUCAGCAAUCUGUUCGUGGCCAAGGACUAUUUGGAGAGUCGGUUGCGGGAGUACCAGGAGGGAGUAAGUGCCUUGAUACAGCAGGAAAUGGAACGAUCCGCUGCAACGCUGAUGAAGGAGGUCAGCGAUAGGAUUCAGAAGGAAGUGCUCGUGGCGAUACAGGCUCGCGAAAGUGAAGUCAACGUCGAUUCAGCGGCUGGAAGGACGUCUUCGCAGGGUGGUGGUGGGGGUGGCGGAAGUCUUACCGAGGACGACGUCCGACGGAUCGUGCGGGAUGCUUUGCGCAUCUACGAUGCGGACAAAACCGGACUGGUGGAUUAUGCGCUGGAAUCGGCUGGAGGGCAGAUCCUGUCGACCCGGUGUACGGAGAACUACCAGACGCAUUCGGCGCAGAUAUCCAUCUUUGGGAUACCGCUGUGGUAUCCGACCAAUACGCCGAGGACGGUGAUUUCGCCGACCAUGCAGCCCGGGCAGUGCUGGGCGUUCUCCGGGUUUCCCGGAUAUCUGGUCAUCCAGCUGAACAGCGACAUCGUCGUGACCGGCUUCUCGCUGGAGCAUAUCUCUAAACUGCUUGCACCAAAUGGACAAAUUGAUUCCGCCCCGAAGAAUUUCUCCGUUUGGGGCCUCGCGAGCGAAAACGACCAGGAACCGGUCCUGCUGGGUAACUACCAGUACCUGGACAAUGGCGCCGCGCUGCAGUACUUCCCGGUGGAUGAUCCGACGCGACCGGAACUGGCCGGCCGAGCGUUCCGCAUCGUGGAAUUGCGCAUCGAAACCAACCACGGCAAUGCGCACUACACGUGCCUCUAUCGGUUCCGGGUGCAUGGCGAGAGGGUUUAGAGGGUGAGAAGAGUUUCGUCGUUGUAAAUACUGAGGUAAGGUAGUAGGAUGGGAAAGUUUUAACGUGAUUCCGAUCGCGCGAGGAAUCGUAAGUUGUUUUUAUUUUUUUGUUUUAUCGCCUAAGUUAGGUUUUUAAGAUCGAUGUUAGGGACCAUGAUAGAGUGGUGCAAUAAUUUUACCAUAUAAUGUUAGGAAGAACUCACAAAAUCGCCGCAGUCAGGAACCAAAUGUUUAGCUACUUAAGUGACACGGUAGGUAUAGUUUUCUACGGAACUGCUUUCUUCCGCACAUAAACGGUCAUGGGAUUCGUCCGGUUCUACGAAACCACGUUGAUCGUUGCACAUUGAAGUCUUGCUAACUUGCAUCCAUUUCGCUUCAUACUAACUAUUAAAGCCUAACUUCAUCGUUUAGAUUUUGUUUAGUUUGUGGAUGAAUGCGAAAUUGUGCGUCAGUAUGUGUGAAAAAUACACAGUUGUGAGAUUAUGAAUGAUUGCCGAUUGUCGGAUUUUUUGUUUUGGUUUUUAAUCAUCAAUACAUUUUUGAAAGUUUACUGCUGUUGACUGUCUUGAAAAUUACUUUCUCAAAGUGAUGAUUUUCAGAUAACGUAGGUAUGGACAAGUUAUAAUUAUAAAAAAAAAUCACAGCUCUGGUGAGAUUUGCACUCACAACUCUUGUACGCUAGACCCUCGUUCAGACCAGCAACGAUACAUAUGGGAUCGAACAAGACGCCAUUGUGCAGUACUCUAAACGAAAAUGCCUCAUUCUGUGCUUCAGUAAGACCGGAAAUUUUCUUCUGUGCGCUUCAGACGUUUUCAUGAUUAAGACGGACGGAAUCACUUUCUCUUGGAAUUUACUUCUCUUGUUACUCUUGCUUCAUGGUCCAGGGUUCGGAAUUUAAAAAAACACGGACACGUUUAAUGUUUCCAGUGAGCAAUUCGCUCUUUGAAGGAAGCACGACACUAGACAACAGACUAGCAUGCAACGCCCAGUGGCACAGCUGAAAACUUUUCCUAACAGCUACGGCGGGAAUAGCACUCACCAAAUUCACCCAAAAAAAUGUUUUCAAGGAAACAUAACAAAAAUUGUGCCGUGACGGGAUUCGAACCUGAUCGCUAAAACAUUCGCGAAACGAUCUCUCUAACCGCGCCGCCACGUCAAUCACACAGAGGCAGGAGAAAAUUUACUGUAAAAGUGGAUACCAUCUGCGUCAUUGUUGCAAAGAAAAGACAACAGAAUCGACCAAAAAGAACAAAAGAAAUUCUUGCAACUAGGUAUAUAUGUGAGCCUGAGCUUAAUUGACCGCCCGUAGAUGAUACUCCAGUAUCGCCACACCAGCUACACUCACACAAGGAAUCAAUGAGAUAUCUGGCGGGGACUAGCAGGCAUCUUCAGUGUGCGAGCGUUGAUGAUCUUCUAUUUUUUGGCGACAAUGGCGCCUGCCACGUCAGGUUGCAGGUCAAUGUAGUGAAGGGGAAGGAAGUGAUGAUUGCAAUCGUUUGUAUCCACAGCAGACCGAAUAUACCUCUGCGUUUGCUCUAAUUCAUGCGGAUGUCGGAGUGUUGAUGGGAUAUGGUUAGCAAUGGGUUCACACAUUGGUACGUGGAUGCCGUAAAGUGAUAGAUUUGUGUGUUUUAUUAUUCUGAAGCUGUGUGGCACAAUUUGCUUGAUUGCAUAUGUCGUAGGCGUUAUCUGAUAGAUUGACACUGUGCUGUGAAAGUUUAGAAGGAAGGGAAACGGCUUAUUCAAACCGUUUCUGUUCGAGCAAUGGCUAUGAACAUGUGAAUAUAUAUGAGUUGUAUUUGUAGAGAGAAGGGAGAAAGUAAAUAUAUAGAAAGAUACAAAGUAGGAGGAAAGGGAUGGGCCAAGGAUUGAACCCAGGACCUUCUGCAUACGAAUCAGAAGCGGUAGCCACUAGACCACCAAGCGCGUCUAACUUUGAUGAUGUAAAUAAUGAGAACACCAAGAAAUAAAGCAAUGAGUAAAGUCACGAGUCAACUCAUGCAUGAUUUUUUUGGCGGUGAGUUUGACGAGUCAAGAAUCGCUCGUGAAACAACUCGACCAUGAGAAAUGAGAAUUUGAGUCUUUACCAAACCCUGGAGAGCAUGGUAGAGCACGACAGUUUGUUUUUAGCCAAAACAACGCACACAGUUAUGAAAGUUCAAAACAUAGAACUCAGUGGUACAUUCAAUUUCUCAUAUGCUUCCGUAUCCAUCAAUCAUUUCCAUUCGAUAUGCUCAUCGUUCCAUAACGGCUCUCUGUAGUAUUGUUUUUCACCCUGCACUAACAUCCUAAUACCUUGCCAUAAGUAAUUAUUGUAUGUACAUAUGAUUAUAUAUCCUCCGUACAGCUAGGCUGAAAGCAGUUCGUCUUUACCUUAAGAAUAAGCAAUAGACGUAAGUUAACGAUUUGUCAUAAGGGUAAUACGCUCUUGUAUGUAUGUUUAAGAUGUAUGUAGAUAUGUACAACAAUAAGUUACUUUCAGGUCACCAUUACCAGCAGCAUAUAGGUUAGAAACCACAUGGCAACAGUAUCAUAGCAACUACUAUUUCCAACACUUACCUACCGUAAUAAGUUCCAAAGUCACCGAUCCUACUUUAAUAAUAUAGUUUAAGAUUUGUUUGUUUCACAGUAGGGCUGUGCAGAAUUGCUAACAUAACAGUUACAGUUGGUUUCUACAAUGGAGAAAUUCUCAGCCCUAUCAGAAAUUCAUGUUAACAAUAGCAUCCGAUUGAAAGCUGUAUAUUAGGGUGAAUAGAUAUUAAUAAUGCCAUAAUGUAAUUCCGAUGAUUACGUAACAUUUUAUGACGAUUGAUUGUAAUCAGUGAACGUUUUGCUCUUAAUUUGCUUUCGUGAUUUUUCAGGUAACAUCUAUGAUUCAGAUAUGCCUUCAAAGUAUGCAUAAGAUUUAUACAUUUCAAGCUUAGUCCAGAAUUCCAAAUAUUACGAAAAAAAUGUUAGAUUGGGACCAAGAUUGGGACAAAUUGAUGUCCUUUGGAUAUGUUGUUGCUAAUUUGGAACUUAGAUUACAAUUCCAACAUCUAAACUAAUUUGAGUAAUACUUUUGGAAGUGUUACGAUCCUGACAGAUGAUUACAAAAAUUUACACGUAGAUUUAUCGUACUCAAUUCAUCUGCUGAUACGCAAUCAAUCUGCUUAAAAUUUGGCAUGUGGGGAUGAUGCAUUAUUAUAAUUCACCCUAGUAUUCAUUCAUUGGUCGGCAGUUGUCGGUAAGACUACCAUGUGUUCGUACAAUGUUAGUUGUAACUCCAACCGUAUUUUGUGAUUAGGUAACUUCUUGUGUUUGUAACUCCGUGAAAUACAGUACAAAUUCGUUGUAUAUUUUUCCUUUGUUGCAUAAAUCUUUUGUGUUCUGUUUUAUAAGUUUGUGCUUUUUUAAAAUUUCGUCUAAUAAUAACUUACAUACCGAGCAAUUGAUAAAAUAAAACUUUCAGGCGGCCUUUAUAGUAUAUCAAAUUGCUAAACAAUAUCAAUGUGUCCUUGUACGUUUCACUGCAACAGUGAACUGAAAUUAAUAAGCAAAUAAAUGAACUGAAAUCAAA